UACAGAGGUCCCCCAAGCGUUGUUCGGAUUCACUGGGCGUAAAGGGUGCGUAGGUGGUCGGGUAAGUCUGAUGUGAAAUCUCCGAGCUUAACUCGGAAACUGCAUCGGAUACUAUUCGGCUUGAGGGUUGGAGGGGGCGUGGAAUACUUGGUGUAGCAGUGAAAUGCGUGAUAUCAAGUGGAACACCAGUGGCGAAGGCGAGUCCCUGGACAACUCCUGACACUGAGGCACGAAAGCUAGGGGAGCGAAAC
rnacentral:rRNA from 1 species